ACGAUACUGGGCAGUACCAGUGACUUCAUCCUCCACCACGCCAACUGUCCCGUUGUCAUCUGUACGAUGGAGGAUCCCUGAGGCACUGUGUGGUACCACACGGCGCUACAGAAUGACAUCUUUUCUAAAAUAAUCCAUGUUACAAAUGUACAGUCAUGUUCUGUGUGAAAUAACGUAAUUGUGUACUAGACAUUCGGUGUGUGCCUGUAAUUAGGUAGAUUUGAAUGUGGUAUUCCAUUGUAACAUAUAAAUUCAUUCCAUCAUAUACAAUAUAGGUGUGCAUGUAUAUAGUUACGGAGUAUAUUGCAAUGUAAUUGAAGUUUUUGAAUGAUAUUUUGACCUACAUGUAAUGUGUAUAUGUACUAUAAGUACAGAGCCAUUUUAAAGACUUCGUCUGGAAAAUAAAAAGGAUAUAUGAGGCACACUUUUUUUUAGUGGCUUUAAACAUGAAUAAGUAACUUAGAGUUGCUGUAAAUAUUAGUUCAGUUCUCAUUGGUAAGAUAUAUCAUGGGAAAUUUAUCCGGUUUACUUUAAACAUAGUCUAGUCCAAUGUAACAAAAGAUAAAUCAAAUCUGCAGUUCAUAUCGAGGAGUACAUCUGAAACAAUGGUGAAUUAAAACACACCGUCUUCAAUGUUAUACAAUAUUCUAGAUUUCUAGCUUAGAUAUUAUAAAGAAGUGUAGGUUAUUACAAUAAAUUUAAUGUUU
rnacentral:misc_RNA from 1 species